rnacentral:rRNA from 1 species
UACGUAGGAUCCAAGCGUUGUCCGGAUUUACUGGGUGUAAAGGGUGCGCAGGCGGACUUGUUAGUCAGAGGUGAAAUCUCACUGCUCAACAGUGAAACUGCCUUUGAUACUGCAGGUCUUUGAAUCCAGAAGAGAGUUGUGGAAUUCCGAGUGUAGCAGUGAAAAUGUGUAGAUAUUCGGAAGAACACCAGCGGCGAAGGCAGCAACUUGGUCUGGUAUUGACGCUCAGGCACGAAAAGCAUGGGGGAUCAAACAGG